rnacentral:rRNA from 1 species
GUACGACUGUCGGCAACGGAUAUCUAGGCUCUCGCAUCGAUGAAGAACGUAGCAAAAUGCGAUACUUGGUGUGAAUUGCAGAAUCCCGUGAAUCAUCGAGUUUUUGAACGCAAGUUGCGCCCGAAGCCACU